rnacentral:lncRNA from 1 species
CCUUUAUAUAAUAUCAUCUCCAUCUUAUUUUUUUUACAAAAGCUCUUUAUUUAAUGAAUUUAGAAAGAUAUCUAAACAAAUUUAAUAAUUACAUAUGCAGCUUUAUUGGGAGUAUUUUUGUCAAGUAUGGAUUACCGCCACUUGAAAAUUUAUCAAAUACCAACCCCUCCAUGAUAUUUAUUUUACAUUCUUUCUCCGAAAAAUAAGCAUGGGGCCCACCAACUUUUUUACUAUCUCUUUCUUCUCUUUUUUAUACCAAACAUGGUAAUCUGACAUGGGAAUCAUUUUUCCAUGCCAGAUUACCCCCAACCAAAAGGCCCCUACAAUGGUGGCAGCAUAGUUACAACACCUAAAAUGUGUUGCUUAUAUGUAAACUUAGGUUUGUGUCAUAUUUUUAUUAUGGAUUUUGAGCUUGUUUUGUUCUUAAUGGGUAAAAAUAAUUUGCUUA